AUUGAACGCUGGCGGCAGGCCUAACACAUGCAAGUCGAACGGUAACAGGGAUCAGCUUGCUGAUUCGCUGACGAGUGGCGGACGGGUGAGUAAUGUCUGGGAAACUGCCUGAUGGAGGGGGAUAACUACUGGAAACGGUAGCUAAUACCGCAUAACGUCGCAAGACCAAAGAGGGGGACCUUCGGGCCUCUUGCCAUCGGAUGUGCCCAGAUGGGAUUAGCUAGUAGGUGGGGUAACGGCUCACCUAGGCGACGAUCCCUAGCUGGUCUGAGAGGAUGACCAGCCACACUGGAACUGAGACACGGUCCAGACUCCUACGGGAGGCAGCAGUGGGGAAUAUUGCACAGUGGGCGCAAGCCUGAUGCAGCCAUGCCGCGUGUAUGAAGAAGGCCUUCGGGUUGUAAAGUACUUUCAGCGGGGAGGAAGGGAGUAAUGUUAAGACCUUUGCUCAUUGACGUUACCCGCAGAAGAAGCACCGGCUAACUCCGU
rnacentral:rRNA from 1 species